rnacentral:lncRNA from 1 species
GUGAGUUCAAAACUGGGGAGUCGAAAUCUUCCUCCGCACCUGCUCCGUUUCGUUCUUCCUCCCACCCGUGCUGGUUCUGCCUCCCACGGUUCUACUCUGCAGGUUGAGUGUCUCCACCCUCCUCGUGGCCCCCUGCCUUAUCUGCACCCCCCCCACAGUCUGUCCUUCCUGCUGGAGCCCACCUUCCAGCCUCCACUUGAGGACUGAGGACCGUAGCUCUUAGGCCGGAAGUGCAUCUCCCAAUUUUACCAGAUCUAAGAACAGGCUUCUCUAACCCUGCUUGACUCCUUUGUCACGUUGGACACUGUCAGGCCCUUGGCCUCCUUGGUCUCGCUGCCCACUCCUCAGCCUCACCACCCACCCAGGUGCUGACGUGCUCCAGGAUUUCUUCGUUGACCCCUUCAUUCCCCCUUGAGAUCAGCUCCUCUGGAUCACCUGUCCUGGGUGUUGCCGAGGCACCAAACAACUGGCGUCCUCGUCUGUGUGGGCCACUGAGACCUCAGGCUCAACGUGCCCAAGACCUGACUCCUGGGCUCCAUGUCCCACCCACCCAAAUACGUGUUCCUCCUCCUCAGCCCUCCUCUUGGGUCACAAAUCGAGGUUUGUGUGGCUGUUGGUUGACCACUCCGUGGCAGGGACCAAGCAGAGGGCCCUACUCUGGAACCCACGUGGCUGGCCGUGGGGAGACGGCGGUGCCUGCCGAGCUUCCUGAAGGUGGGGUGCACAACCAGGGCCGGGAGGGGGCCUGCAGCUGCGUUAGCGAGGCCGUGUCAGGACAGGCCCAUGGAGAAGUGAGAUUGGGGAAGGACAAUCUUGGAGAGGACAUCUCGGGCAGGAAAAUCCAGGCAGAGAUCCCAGAGAAGCCCCUGGAGGCCGGAGGGCUUGUGAAACAGUUUCUGAUUCUGCGGAUUUGGAACAUGGCAGACGCCAUUGCUCUGGGCCGUGCUCUGAGACCACUGAGCCACAGCAGAGGCCCCAGGCGGCCGCACGGAAGAGCAGACUCUUGUGACUGAGUGCCCGCUCAUGCCCCUGCGGCCGCUCCACCCCUGCGAACAUGGGACCGAGUGCGUGGCCACCAG